rnacentral:misc_RNA from 1 species
AAGUCGUAACAAGGUCUCCGUAGGUGAACCUGCGGAGGGAUCAUUAACACGUGUAAAAACGUAUAACAAAACCCUAACCUAACAAACCAAUACCGUGAACUAUGUUAUAAUAUAAUAAUAUUAUUAUUAUACCUUUUUUUUUUAUCUUUUAUGUUUUACUAGUAACAUAGUAAAAUAUGAUAGUGUGAAAAAAAACAAACCCUUUUCCAACCUUUAUUUUUUUCUAUCUGUUUGUUAUAUAUAUGUAUCUUAAUUGAUACUUAUAUAUGAUAGCAAUAAAUUAAAAAAAAUACAAAGCACAACUCUUAGCAACGGAUAUCUUGGUUCUC